UACAGAGGGGGCAAGCGUUGUUCGGAAUUACUGGGCGUAAAGGGCGCGUAGGCGGCCUUCUAAGUCGAACGUGAAAUCCCCGGGCUCAACCCGGGAACUGCGUCCGAUACUGGAAGGCUUGAAUCCGGGAGAGGGAUGUGGAAUUCCAGGUGUAGCGGUGAAAUGCGUAGAUAUCAGGAAGAACACCCGUGGCGAAGGCGGCUCUCUGGUACGGAACUGACGCUGAGACGCGAAAGCGUGGGGAGCGAACAGG
rnacentral:rRNA from 1 species